GCGGUGUUAGCUCAGUAGGUAGAGCAUCGGAUUGUGAUUCCGAGGGUCAGCGGUUCAAGCCCGCUACACCGCCCCA
rnacentral:tRNA from 1 species